GUACGACGGAGCACGUGAAAUUCCGUCGGAAUCUGGGAGGACCAUCUCCUAAGGCUAAAUACUCUCUAGUGACCGAUAGUGAACCAGUACCGUGAGGGAAAGGUGAAAAGCACCCCGGAAGGGGAGUGAAAUAGAACCUGAAACCGUGUGCUUACAAGUAGUCAGAGCCCGUUAAUGGGUGAUGGCGUGCCUUUUGUAGAAUGAACCGGCGAGUUACGAUUUGAUGCAAGGUUAAGCAGUAAAUGUGGAGCCGUAGCGAAAGCGAGUCUGAAUAGGGCGUUUAGUAUUUGGUCGUAGACCCGAAACCAGGUGAUCUACCCUUGGUCAGGUUGAAGUUCAGGUAACACUGAAUGGAGGACCGAACCGACUUACGUUGAAAAGUGAGCGGAUGAACUGAGGGUAGCGGAGAAAUUCCAAUCGAACCUGGAGAUAGCUGGUUCUCUCCGAAAUAGCUUUAGGGCUAGCCUCAAGUGAUGAUUAUUGGAGGUAGAGCACUGUUUGGACGAGGGGCCCCUCUCGGGUUACCGAAUUCAGACAAACUCCGAAUGCCAAUUAAUUUAACUUGGGAGUCAGAACAUGGGUGAUAAGGUCCGUGUUCGAAAGGGAAACAGCCCAGACCACCAGCUAAGGUCCCAAAAUAUAUGUUAAGUGGAAAAGGAUGUGGCGUUGCCCAGACAACUAGGAUGUUGGCUUAGAAGCAGCCAUCAUUUAAAGAGUGCGUAAUAGCUCACUAGUCGAGUGACACUGCGCCGAAAAUGUACCGGGGCUAAACAUAUUACCGAAGCUGUGGAUUGUCCUUUGGACAAUGGUAGGAGAGCGUUCUAAGGGCGUUGAAGCAUGAUCGUAAGGACAUGUGGAGCGCUUAGAAGUGAGAAUGCCGGUGUGAGUAGCGAAAGACGGGUGAGAAUCCCGUCCACCGAUUGACUAAGGUUUCCAGAGGAAGGCUCGUCCGCUCUGGGUUAGUCGGGUCCUAAGCUGAGGCCGACAGGCGUAGGCGAUGGAUAACAGGUUGAUAUUCCUGUACCACCUAUAAUCGUUUUAAUCGAUGGGGGGACGCAGUAGGAUAGGCGAAGCGUGCGAUUGGAUUGCACGUCUAAGCAGUAAGGCUGAGUAUUAGGCAAAUCCGGUACUCGUUAAGGCUGAGC
rnacentral:rRNA from 1 species